GACGAGGCACUACGGUGCUGAAGCAACAAAUGCCCUGCUUCCAGGAAAAGCCUCUAAGCAUCAGGUAACACGAAAUCGUACCCCAAACCGACACAGGUGGUCAGGUAGAGAAUACCAAGGCGCUUGAGAGAACUCGGGUGAAGGAACUAGGCAAAAUGGUGCCGUAACUUCGGGAGAAGGCACGCUGACACGUAGGUGAAGUGAUUUACUCAUGGAGCUGAAGUCAGUCGAAGAUACCAGCUGGCUGCAACUGUUUAUUAAAAACACAGCACUGUGCAAACACGAAAGUGGACGUAUACGGUGUGACGCCUGCCCGGUGCCGGAAGGUUAAUUGAUGGGGUCAGCGUAAGCGAAGCUCCUGAUCGAAGCCCCGGUAAACGGCGGCCGUAACUAUAACGGUCCUAAGGUAGCGAAAUUCCUUGUCGGGUAAGUUCCGACCUGCACGAAUGGCGUAAUGAUGGCCAGGCUGUCUCCACCCGAGACUCAGUGAAAUUGAACUCGCUGUGAAGAUGCAGUGUACCCGCGGCAAGACGGAAAGACCCCGUGAACCUUUACUAUAGCUUGACACUGAACAUUGAGCCUUGAUGUGUAGGAUAGGUGGGAGGCUUUGAAGUGUGGACGCCAGUCUGCAUGGAGCCGACCUUGAAAUACCACCCUUUAAUGUUUGAUGUUCUAACGUGGACCCGUAAUCCGGGUUGCGGACAGUGUCUGGUGGGUAGUUUGACUGGGGCGGUCUCCUCCUAAAGAGUAACGGAGGAGCACGAAGGUUGGCUAAUCCUGGUCGGACAUCAGGAGGUUAGUGCAAUGGCAUAAGCCAGCUUGACUGCGAGCGUGACGGCGCGAGCAGGUGCGAAAGCAGGUCAUAGUGAUCCGGUGGUUCUGAAUGGAAGGGCCAUCGCUCAACGGAUAAAAGGUACUCCGGGGAUAACAGGCUGAUACCGCCCAAGAGUUCAUAUCGACGGCGGUGUUUGGCACCUCGAUGUCGGCUCAUCACAUCCUGGGGCUGAAGUAGGUCCCAAGGGUAUGGCUGUUCGCCAUUUAAAGUGGUACGCGAGCUGGGUUUAGAACGUCGUGAGACAGUUCGGUCCCUAUCUGCCGUGGGCGCUGGAGAACUGAGGGGGGCUGCUCCUAGUACGAGAGGACCGGAGUGGACGCAUCACUGGUGUUCGGGUUGUCAUGCCAAUGGCACUGCCCGGUAGCUAAAUGCGGAAGAGAUAAGUGCUGAAAGCAUCUAAGCACGAAACUUGCCCCGAGAUGAGUUCUCCCUGAGACUUAGAGUCUCCUGAAGGAACGUUGAAGACGACGACGUU
rnacentral:rRNA from 1 species